rnacentral:rRNA from 1 species
GACGAACGCUGGCGGCGUGCUUAACACAUGCAAGUCGAACGAUGAAGCCCUUUCGGGGGUGGAUUAGUGGCGAACGGGUGAGUAACACGUGGGUAACCUGCCCUGUACCCUGGGAUAAGCCUUGGAAACGAGGUCUAAUACCGGAUAUGACCUGCUCUCGCAUGGGGGUGGGUGGAAAGUUUUGGCGGUGCAGGAUGGACCCGCGGCCUAUCAGCUUGUUGGUGGGGUGAUGGCCUACCAAGGCGACGACGGGUAGCCGGCCUGAGAGGGCGACCGGCCACACUGGGACUGAGACACGGCCCAGACUCCUACGGGAGGCAGCAGUGGGGAAUAUUGCACAAUGGGGCGAAAGCCUGAUGCAGCGACGCCGCGUGAGGGAUGACGGCCU